UACGUGAGGGGCAAGCGUUGUCCGGAUUUAUUGGGCGUAAAGAGCGUGUAGGCGGCCAGACAGGUCAGCGUGUAGCGAAAACUCGAGGCUCAACCUCCGAGACGUCGGUUGAAACCGUCUGGCUAGAGUCCGGAAGAGGAGAGUGGAAUUCCCGGUGUAGCGGUGAAAAUGCGCAGAUAUCGGGAAGAACACCCGUGGCGAAGGCGGCUCUCUGGGACGGUACUGACGCUGAGACGCGAAAGCGUGGGGAGCGAACAGG
rnacentral:rRNA from 1 species